rnacentral:lncRNA from 1 species
CACACACAGUCUCCACAUUCUUUUUUUAAACACUUUAAUGAGGGUAAGUUUCAUAAAAAAAAUAAAAAAAAUAUAAGAAAUAACAUAUUAAACAAAAAGCUGAAAAAAGACUAUGAAUUGGAUUUGAAAUGAUAAUCAAAAUGUAGAUGGAGUCAAUCAACACCCCAAAGCUUGACUGUUAUUAUUAACUCUUCAUCGGUUGACAUUUUAUUCGAUAGCAUUACAGUUUUGAUGCUAUUUUAUGUCAGAUGAUCUUGUUACAUGUGGUAGUAUCUGUUGUUUCUUUUUCUUCUUCACUUGUGUUUUUUUGGAAAUUCUGUACAGAAGAUGUGUACUACUGUAGCACCCUCUACCGUAUAACAAUGAAAACAUGGAUUCUAGGAGCACAAGUAUAGCUCAAAUAUAUUUAGACUUUUUGUAAGUAUAAGUCAAGUAUUCUUAAAUGUCAUUUUAAGUAUAUUUCUGAGAAGUACAUAAAGCCAAUUUCUGAGAAGUACGUAAAAAGUAAACUAAAAGCAUAGUUUCCUAUUUUUAGUUUAAAAGAAGUAUACUACUGUAAUAUCUCACUUGAUUAAACUUCUUUUUCGUAAGAGUAGAUAGAUAGAUAGAUAGAUAGAUAGAUAGAUAGAUAGAUAGAUGCUGUUGCCGUUACAUUGCACAGGCAGGAAAUUCCUGUGAGCAUCACACAGGGGCAUGUCGUCCUGAGAGGACGGCUGACCAUUAUAGUGAGUCAUGGGUGAAAGCCUCCAGUGCUCACACACAGUCUCCACACAGGGAAGCAGCGCCGCUGUGCCAGGUAUUGUCCUGGUGCCCACUCUCUCCUGCCCUCUACUGUCCACACACCAGCAGCGUCCAGUGGUGCCCAGGCACUGCAGGGGUUUGUACUGCCCUUUCUCAUCACACUGAGGAAUAAAGGCCUCCAGGCCUGGGUAGAUGCUUAGACUCUCCUGCAGACUUUCUCUGUGGUGUUGGCACACGGUUAAGGGUGGUUUAACGUAGAAAAAAAACAGGACCAGUGAACAUUUAAAUACAUUACAUUAUCAGUAUUCACUAAAUGGCAUGAUGUGACUAAGCCAAGUCCUGGAACAAUGUAUGUUGUUCCAGGAACAUGUUCUACUUGUUUCUUAUAAAAGAUUAAACAACUCAUUUGUGUUUUAUAAUUCGCCGCUGAAAAUAGUAUCUGACUUGAUUGCCGGACUUCUUCUGUGUUAUAAAUAAAGAGAACAGUCUGUUACUGAGAUAACAGGGAGAAAGCGUUGUGUGUUUCUUGAUAAAU